rnacentral:rRNA from 1 species
GUGAACGCUGGCGGCAGGCCUAACCCAUGCAAGUCGAACGGCAGCACAAGAGAGCUUGCUCUCUGGGUGGCGAGUGGCGGACGGGUGAGGAAUGCAUCGGAAUCUGCCCAUUUGUGGGGGAUAACCUCGGGAAACCGGGACUAAUACCGCAUACGACCUACGGGUGAAAGCAGGGGAUCUUCGGACCUUGCGCAGAUGGAUGAGCCGAUGCCGGAUUAGCUAGUUGGAGGGGUAAAGGCCCACCAAGGCGACGAUCCGUAGCUGGUCUGAGAGGAUGAUCAGCCACACUGGGACUGAGACACGGCCCAGACUCCUACGGGAGGCAGCAGUGGGGAAUAUUGGACAAUGGGCGCAAGCCUGAUCCAGCCAUGCCGCGUGUGUGAAGAAGGCCUUCGGGUUGUAAAGCACUUUUGUUGGGAAAGAAAAGCAGCCGGUUAAUACCCGGUUGUCAUGACGGUACCCAAAGAAUAAGCACCGGCUAACUUCGUG